rnacentral:rRNA from 1 species
GACGAACGCUGGCGGCGUGCUUAAUACAUGCAAGUCGAACGGAAAGGCCUGCUUUCCCUUGUGGAUUGCGGGUACUCGAGUGGCGAACGGGUGAGUAACACGUGAGUGAUCUGCCCCCAACUUGGGUAUAAGCCUGGGAAACUGGGUCUAAUUCCCGAUAGGACUGCAGGGUGGUGCCUGUGGUGGAAAACGAUUUUCUAGUGGUUGGGGAUGAGCUCGCGGCCUAUCAGCUUGUUGGUGGGGUAAUGGCCUACCAAGGCGGCGACGGGUAGCCGGCCUGAGAGGGUGGACGGCCACAUUGGGACUGAGAUACGGCCCAGACUCCUACGGGAGGCAGCAGUGGGGAAUAUUGCACAAUGGGCGGAAGCCUGAUGCAGCGACGCCGCGUGGGGGAUGACGGCCUUCGGGUUGUAAACUCCUUUCGACCGCGAGGAAGCCACCUGGUUGGAAGGGUGGUGACGGUAGUGGUAGAAGAAGCACCGGCUAACUACGUG